CGCACCCACUUUACAAGAUAUGAAUCAACAAACGUUUUAACAUUAUCAUUAAUUCUGGAAACAAAGCACUAAUAAGUGAUACGAAAUAGCAUUGGGUAAGUGUGGUUGGAAGCUUUCCAAAACUUCGUGCGUAUAUUUUUGCGUUAAUUUUGAACAAAAAGUAUUAGUAAGGUGAGCUGUGUGUGGAUAGGUGUGCCGUAUAUACUUUAAAGGCAAGAACAGAUUAUAAAAGAUGGUUCGACUGGAAACAAGAUACGAUCCUAUUCACGGAUACGAUUACACUUACUGGCCCGAUUCAAGAUAUUUUAGAGAUUACCGAUUUUCUCCGCCAAUUUCCUGGGCCGAUGACUGGAGUCAUAGAUCACGAGUAUGGUUCCCGUACUACUGGUCAACCCGUAGGCUAUUUCAACAUUACAUGGACUACAAACCUUCAGCAAGGUCUCUUCGAUCUCAACGACUACGAAACGACUUGUAUUUCUAGACUAGAUUCCGAGAAAAUUGUAUCCGAAGAAACUAGAUGAAAUAUUAUUUAUUAUCAUAAAAACUGAAUCUCGAAGACUACAAACUAAGAAAAUAUUAUUUACAUGCAAUUUAUAUUUGUAUAUAUGUAUUUUUUGAACUUAUUUUAAACAAGUAAUUAAAGAACGAAAAGUUUAAUAAAAUAAAUUUUAUUUAUUCAAA